rnacentral:lncRNA from 1 species
CCUCCCAUACCCUUUACUACUAUACUCUCCAAGUUCUUUUACAAAGUUAUUAUUACAGAUCCAAAAGCAAACAAAUAAAAUACAUCAUAGCCCACAGCUAGAUCCAAACUGCCUAAUGCAAUUUCAAUAUCCAGUACAUGUGUUUUACCAAAUCCAGAUUCCAUAUUCUAAGGCCUUCUCUUAGAGUGUUUCAAAGUUCCAAGGAGCUUAAGGAGCCCAGGCAAUGCUUACACUCUGAAGAGUGAAUGUUGUAACAGAGUAGUGCAAGUACAAAUUUAUCAGUCCUUAGGCAUUCAAGUUCAGAGGGAACUCCAGGGUCCCUAAGCAUGGCUUACCAAUGGGGUAGAACUUAAGAACUAGGAGUAAGUGCAAAGUGGGGGAGGAACCUCAGCAGGAGGUGGUCAUACCCAGACAUGGUAUAGACUGGCACACCCCUGACCCCUUGCUCAGAUUCAAACAAAUAAGAGCAGACUCCUAAAGAGUCAAAUUUAAGUCUGAAUGGUGAUUAGGACACCAACAGACCUAAAGAAAUGCUCAACACAUAAGGGGAGAGGGAAUGGGAAAAACAAUUGAGUAAAGACAUAGGAGAGUCUAGUUUUGGAUCACAGACAACAGUUCAAAGUGCUUCCAUGAUUUAGGACAGUACCAACGUACAAAGGGAAUGGAGGGGAGGGACUAAAACAUAACAGAUUGAAAGCAUAGGGAGGCAUAGCAUGCUUGAAUAUAAUCACAUAAUGCAUGAAAGCAUGAGUAAACACACCGGGAAAGAAGUGUAGAAGAUGAGAAGAGAACACAUAAUAAAGAGGAUGCUAUUUAACAUAGAGAAACAUACAUAAUGCAAGUUCUCGAACUACAGAAUAGUAACAGCAAAAAAACAGCCAGGCAGUCAACAAGAACAAACUCAAGGAACUUCAACAAGUACUUGGGAGUUCAAAGGAACUCCAGGAGAUUCAGACAACAGUAGAGAAAGGAGCAGAGUGCUCAGCAGUAGUAGAGAAAAAUAGAGAAUAGCAGUAGUAGUAGUAGAGAGUAGCAGUAGUAGUAAUGUAUUGCAAGAAAGAGUUUGUGAGAAUUCUAUACAAGUGAUUGUGUAAGGUUGCUUUUGAAACUUUUGUUUGUGUGUCUGUGUGUGUCAGAACUUGUGAAAGCUGUGAGUUUUUAUAGUGCAAAUAUGAGUAGACAAGAAGGCAAGAAAAAAAAAUCUCAGUCAAUCAAACAAAAUCUCCCUUAAUCAAAGGGAUUUGAUUUUAAACGGGAGUGGUAAUUAAGGAAGGGGAAAUCCUUUAGAGUAACAAAAUAAAGGACAGGUGCAUAUAAAAUCUAUUUAAGGUAGGAAAUUAUUGUACACGUUUUGAAGUAAUAUGGAAAUAAAAUAAUCAAACAGUUUGAAAUUCAAAAACCUUGAAUGUACUUAGUCAGGAAAAUAUGGAAAUGGCUGAGUUGUAAAAAUCAGUAGCAAAUUAGUUAAGCCUUAGUGAAAGGGGAUUGAGAUCAAUCACAAACUAAUAGAAUCAAUUCAGAAGAAAAAACCCUCAUAUAUAAGCAUGCUAACAUCAAGCAAAGAAGGAUCGCUAUAAAUAGUUUUUGAAUCAUAAGCAAAAGAAAAGCAAGUUGCAAUUCAGUCUAUGAACUCAGCAUGAGUUUGAGAGCCUAGGGUUUCUAGGGUAUAACCCUAGAACCAAAAAAGCUCGCAAGAAUCACAGACACAUGUAGCAAUCAAAAGUAGUAGAGUAAAUGCUUGUAAGGAACAAGUUUCAGGAAGAUCAAAACUCAAACCAGCUAGGAGUUUAGGAAACAGUUAGAGAAGCAAGUUUGAUAAUUCAAAUAGAUUCAGUAACAGUAAGCACUUUCAGUAGGCAAGAUAGGCAUAUAAACAUACUUACAGAAAAAAAUCAGUAGAAACAGUAAUAGAACGAAGGCAGAGAGACAUGUAUAUUAACGACAAAUCAUAAGAAACAAACGAAAAACCCUAAAGCAUUGUAGGAACACACAUAUUCAUAAAAACAAUUAAGAAGAAGAAGAGUCAGUUUAGUAUGUUUGAAAACUUUAAUUUGAUCUGACUAAUAUUAAAAAGGAAAAUUAGGGAAAAUCGUUAAAACCUGGAAUAGAGCACAUAUCAGCUACAGAUCUAAGAAAACAAGGAAAUAAAAACGUCGAAUCAAGCUUUUUAGGGUUUAUCAGAAUCCAUAGAGACGAGAAGGUUUGGAAUGGUCUGGUUUCUGAAUGAAUUUGAACCAUGACUAAGUUUUUCAGAGUUCGAACACACCGGAACAGAGCCGGAGAAGCUGGGGGAGCUCAAUUCGGCAGAGGUUCUGAACAGGUUGGUUGAAGGUUGAGCGUUGAAAGCUUAAACAAUCAUGAGUUGGGGUGAAGGGGGAGAGAACAUAGGUCAUCCAUGGCCUGAGAAGCCAUGGACGCCGGUGUAUUUUUGAUCGGAGACGAAAGCGGGUUGCUAGGGUUCAGAGAGCGUUUGAGAGGAGAGGGGAUUUGGGGGCAGCUGAUUUAGAGAAG